ACCUUGCCUACCGGCAGGCAGGUUGAAACGGAAAGCUUUUUUUGAAAAAACAAAUUAGUUUUGUUGGCUUGGCAAAGCGACCUUGGGAGCUCUUGCCGAGGCUUACAAAACUUUUGUUUUGAAAAAAACUUGUAGUGAAAAGCCGGAAUAGCU
rnacentral:sRNA from 1 species